AUAACAAAGGGAAGACUUUGAACCACUACCUGUAAGUGGUCACUUGGGGAGUGGGGAGUCAAUAGUGAAACCGGCCCUUCGGGGU
rnacentral:ncRNA from 2 species